UACGAAGGGGGCUAGCGUUGUUCGGAAUUACUGGCGUAAGCGCGCGCAGGCGGUUCUUCAAGUCAGUGGUGAAAGCCCGGAGCUCAACUCCGGAACUGCCAUUGAAACUGUAGAACUUGAGGAUGAGAGAGGUGAGUGGAAUUCCCAGUGUAGAGGUGAAAUUCGUAGAUAUUGGGAAGAACACCGGUGGCGAAGGCGGCUCACUGGCUCAUUUCUGACGCUCAGGCGCGACAGCGUGGGGAUCAAACAGG
rnacentral:rRNA from 1 species